rnacentral:rRNA from 1 species
AUGAACGCUGGCGGCGUGCCUAAUACAUGCAAGUCGAGCGAACGGACGAGAAGCUUGCUUCUCUGAUGUUAGCGGCGGACGGGUGAGUAACACGUGGAUAACCUACCUAUAAGACUGGGAUAACUUCGGGAAACCGUAGCUAAUACCGGAUAAUAUUUUGAACCGCAUGGUUCAAAAGUGAAAGACGGUCUUGCUGUCACUUAUAGAUGGAUCCGCGCUGCAUUAGCUAGUUGGUAAGGUAACGGCUUACCAAGGCAACGAUGCAUAGCCGACCUGAGAGGGUGAUCGGCCACACUGGAACUGAGACACGGUCCAGACUCCUACGGGAGGCAGCAGUAGGGAAUCUUCCGCAAUGGGCGAAAGCCUGACGGAGCAACGCCGCGUGAGUGAUGAAGGUCUUCGGAUCGUAAAACUCUGUUAUUAGGGAAGAACAUAUGUGUAAGUAACUGUGCACAUCUUGACGGGACCUAAUCAGAAAGCCACGGCUAACUACGU